rnacentral:rRNA from 1 species
UACGUAGGGGGCAAGCGUUAUCCGGAUUUACUGGGCGUAAAGAGCGUGUAGGCGGCCAAGCAGGUCCGUUGUGAAAACUGGAGGCUUAACCUCCAGACGUCGACGGAAACCGCGUGGCUAGAGUCCGGAAGAGGAGAGUGGAAUUCCUGGUGUAGCGGUGAAAUGCGCAGAUAUCAGGAAGAACACCAAUGGCGAAGGCAGCUCUCUGGGACGGUACUGACGCUGAGACGCGAAAGCGUGGGGAGCAAACAGG